GGGAGCAGCGCCCUGUGCUUUUCUGCACCCUCUAUGGGCGAGUCCUGGCCCCACUACCGUGGCGGUGGGGGCGCGGCCUCUGGAAGAGGCGGGGACAGCUGGGAUGUCCUGGGUUCUCACCUGCCGCCUCUGGGUGCUCUCAGUCCGCGACCCGCGGCGCGAGAGACUAACAAGGACCAGCGGCGUGGGAGCCAACCGCGUCUUCCCGGCCCCUCCGCGAUGUGCAAGGCAGAAUGACCAAGUGCUGGGAAUCGGAAGUCGUUCUCCAGUUGUCCGUGCUGUGCAGUGAACAGGGAGGAAAAUAUUGUCUUGGAAAUCAUCUCUGAGACUUUCUUUCACGAGCCCGUGACCACAGGUGUCCCAACUGUGAGGGACGUGGGGCAGUUGAUGGGGCAGCUGAGCAUCAAACUGCUGCUGAAGGAGGCUGCCUCUGCCCACGAGGAUGAGGAUGAAGACGCGGACGAGUCAGGGAAUGGCCGUGAGAAAGUGGUCUUCCUGUUUAUAAGAUGGGCGCUAAUGGUCCUGUAAAUGUCUUCUGUGUGGACUUGUGGAGGAAAGGUAUCCUGACAUUCAGGGAUGCCUGUUUUCAAUCUAUUUGCUAGUAUCUGUAACUACUCUCUCCAAUAUGAUUACCACUAGCUACAUAAAACUUUUCAAAAUUAAAUUUACAUGAACUAAAAUGAAGUAAAACUUAAAAUUCAGUUAGUGUCGACCUUUAGGUUUCCCUUGGUGCAUACCUGAGGAGUGUUGGCUUGGUUUACAGACCAGCUGGUUUUCAUUCAAACCAAAUAGAAAUCAAAAGCUAGAAAAUGUGUCUCCCCUCGAAGCAAGAGUAUUAACAUGAGAAUGACCGCCUAUGGGUGAUUCAGCCACAUGUUUGUAUGAAUUGACAUGAUGUGGCUUCAUCUUACACAGCAAGCUUUCUUUGUGAAAUAAUUGCUACAGAUCACAUUCCCAUUUUUUUUAUUUUGGCUUAAAAAUUGUUGACAUGUUGGGUUUAAUUUUAAUGAUAGGUUGUUUCAGUUGUGUCAGUGAACUGUGGCCCUUCAAGUAGGACUGGGAAGGUUUUCCUUGUUUUCAUACCAUCCUGUCCCAGGGCAACCAUUGCCUAUUCCUCAGUUGAAUUUGACCGGUAUGUUCAAUUCUGGGCUCAAGAAGGAAACAUAAAACGAUUAAGUAAGUGUUUAGUGGAGAGAGUUCUUUUGAAUUAUUUCAGUUACAACCAAAGCAAUGCUCUUUCUAUCCCUAGUGAUUUUAAAUAUUAUUAGCCAGCCUAGUGGCUCUCAGUGCUCAGAGAGCAAAUCAAACUAAACACUGAGGGAAAAAGAACAUAGCUCAUCAAGUUAGUGUUGCUUUUGAUGAGAUCAUUUCAAGAUCUCAAACAGCAGUUGGGAAAAUUUAGAAAGAUAUUAUUGAUAUUGGUGAGAUAAUUCAAAGACUCUUAAAGUGUCGUCUAUAUAAAUAGUCUUGAAAUGUCUGGUAAUGAAUAUAUGAUCCUUGUACAAAAACCAGGAAAUAGACUGAGCAAAAAGGGAAGAGACAGUCAUUUCUAGUAGUCCCUCUUACAAGAGUUCACAAGUGUUGACAUUGUGUUGGAUACAUUUCCAAAUUUUAUUUCUCCAUUUUAUCAGUUUAUAUUUGUUUACUUAUCACAAAAUUUAAAUCUGUUUUAGAAGUGAUUUAAAAAUGUAUACUUCCAUAUUUAUAAUGGUUACACAUAAUAAGUGCACAAUUAUAGUAUGCAUAUGUAUAUGAGCAGGUAUCGUCUACAGAUAUUUUUAAUCAACAACUUUAUUUCUAUUGUUUCCAAAGUAUUUCAUUUAAUGAUAUAUAGUUCACUUAAUGGAAACUUGUUUUUGGCUAUUAUACAUAUACUGUUGGGGUAUAUUCCUCUUAUUUGUCUAUAUAUUUAGGAUAAUUGCUUAGAAUUUUUAAG